AUUGAACGCUGGCGGCAUGCUUUACACAUGCAAGUCGGACGAGUGGCGAACGGGUGAGUAACGCAUCGGAACGUACCGAGUAAGGGGGGAUAACUGUCCGAAAGGAAAGCUAAUAACGCAUAUUAUUCGAGCGGCCGAUGUCUGAUUCGCUGGUUGGCGGGGUAAAGGCCCACCAAGGCGAAGAUCAGUAGCGGGUUUGAGAGGAUGAUCGGCCACAUGGGACCUGAACCACGGCCCAGACUCCUACGGGAGGAAGAAGUGGGGAAUUUUGGACAAGGGGGGCAAGCCUGCGGCAGCCAGGCCGCGUGUCUGAAGAAGGCCUUGGGGUUGUAAAGGACUUUUGUCAGGGAAGCGGUACCUGAAGAAUAAGCACCGGCUAACUACGUGCCAGCAGCCGCGGUAAUUC
rnacentral:rRNA from 1 species